rnacentral:rRNA from 1 species
AUAGCCUUAACGGGGAAGCCGUUAGUCUUGUAUGGCGAGCGGACUGUUGGGAGCUUGCUCCCUGAUGUCAGCGGCGGACGGGUGAGUAACACGUGGGCAACCUGCCUGUAAGACUGGGAUAACUCCGGGAAACCGGGGCUAAUACCGGAUAAUUCUUUCCCUCACAUGAGGGAAAGCUGAAAGAUGGUUUCGGCUAUCACUUACAGAUGGGCCCGCGGCGCAUUAGCUAGUUGGUGAGGUAACGGCUCACCAAGGCAACGAUGCGUAGCCGACCUGAGAGGGUGAUCGGCCACACUGGGACUGAGACACGGCCCAGACUCCUACGGGAGGCAGCAGUAGGGAAUCUUCCGCAAUGGACGAAAGUCUGACGGAGCAACGCCGCGUGAGUGAUGAAGGUUUUCGGAUCGUAAAACUCUGUUGUUAGGGAAGAACAAGUACCGGAGUAACUGCCGGUACCUUGACGGUACCUAACCAGAAAGCCACGGCUAACUACGUGCCAGCAGCCGCGGUAAUACGUAGGUGGCAAGCGUUGUCCGGAAUUAUUGGGCGUAAAGCGCGCGCAGGCGGUUCCUUAAGUCUGAUGUGAAAGCCCCGGCUCAACCGGGGAGGGUCAUUGGAAACUGGGGAACUUGGGUGCAAAAAAAAGAGUGAAUUCCCGUGUAGCGGUGAAUGCGUAAAGAUGGGAAGAACCCGGGGCGAGGGACUCUUGGUCUGUACUGACCUGGGCCGAAGCGUGGGAGCA